GACAGGGGGCCCGAGCGUUAGUCGGAAUUACUGGGCUUAAAGGGUGCGUAGGCGGACCGGUAAGUGUCGUGUGAAAGCCCACCGCUCAACGGUGGAACCGCACGGCAUACUGCCGGUCUCGAGGAAGGUAGAGGCGGGUGGAACGAUUGGUGGAGCGGUGGAAUGCGUAGAUAUCAAUCGGAACGCCAAAGGUGAAGACAGCCCGCUGGGCCUUUCCUGACGCUGAGGCACGAAAGCGCGGGGAGCAAACAGG
rnacentral:rRNA from 1 species